rnacentral:rRNA from 1 species
GACGGAGGGGGCAAGCGUUGUCCGGACUCACUGGGCGUAAAGCGCACGUAGGCGGCGCGGUAAGUCGGGUGUGAAAUCUCGGAGCUUAACUCCGAAACUGCAUUCGAUACUGCCGUGCUUGAGGACUGGAGAGGAGACUGGAAUUUACGGUGUAGCGGUGAAAUGCGUAGAUAUCGUAAGGAAGACCAGUGGCGAAGGCGGGUCUCUGGACAGUUCCUGACGCUGAGGCACGAAGGUCAGGGGAGCAAACGGG